ensembl:lincRNA
AUGGACACCACAGGCCUCAGCUGUCACCUUCCCUACAACACUGAGCAGUAUUGUAGGGAAGGAAAUUUGUGUCCCUGUGUCUGUGCACAGCUAUGCCCAAGCUCUGAAAUGGAAGCAGAAGUCCUGCCUUCCCCGUGGCUCCCAGGACAGCAACUGCCCCAGCAUGAAGGGCUCUUCGACACAACCAGGGCUUCUGUGAGGCCCACCUGGUUUGCAGAAGGCUUCAGAGAAGUGGAAGUGUCACAGAUCAUGGAGACCUCUGCUGUAACCAGUCGUGUGGGGAGCCGUUCCUUUCCCACUCCAACUGCUGGCUCUUCAGGCAAGGCAUUGUGGGCUAUUAGGAAGACUCAGACUUUGAUAUGAGAAGCCAAUUUAUGAAUUUGUAGCUCACUCAGGGUGGUCUCCACCAUCCUCUUUGUGGUAGUCUGGUCAAUAUAGUUUUAUUCUUGUCACCUACAGAUACUGUCUAAAUUUUCUACAUGUGUAUGGCUUCUGUAACAGAAAAACAAAUCAAUUAAAGAUGUAUUUCAAAACCCACCCGACCCAGUCUACUAACUGGAAUCUGUUUUCAGGACACAACCUCUCUAAGCCAGUUGUAGUUGAGCACUGGACUGUUAUCUGGCUAGACACCACAGCUGAGGAAGCCUUGUGACUAAGAGUUUGCUACUGAGAUGUGAACAGAAGUUUCCCCUUACUAUUCAGCAUGUGACCCUAUACCUUCCAGUUAGAAUGGGAAUGUGAUCCUGGCAUUUCCUAGACCAACAAAAACAGAUGCUUCACCUUAUUACUGGCUAUCAUAGAAACACACAUUAAAGUGAAAUUUCACUUUUCAUCUGUCAUGUUAAAAGAGGGAAAAGUAGUACUCUCAUGUGCUACUGGUGGAAGUGCUACCUUGGAGGACAAUUUGGCAGUGUCUACUAAAAUGAAAGAUAAAGCCAGCCAUAGAGGUGCACACUAUACCCCUAGUAAUGGGACACAGAGGCAGGAUGAUUAUAAAAUCAAAAUCAAGUUCAGCCUGGGCAAUUUAAUGAGACUCUGUCUCAAAAUAAAAAUAAAAGGGUUGUAGCUCAGUGUCAAGGCCCUGGGUAAUACCCAGUACCACAAAACAAAAUAACCUUGAAAAGGGAUAACUGUGAUUACUGAAUAUACAUUAAAGAAAAAGAAGAAAAAUGAGCACUGACAAGCUAAUGUGUCUUAGGUUCUUCUCAGAAAUCAGCUUGUGGCCAGGUGUGAUGGUACACACCUAUAAUCCCAGUACUUGGGAGGCUGAGGCAGGAGGACUACCAAAAGUCUGAGACCAGCCUGGGAUAUACAGUGAGUUCAAGGCCAGCAUGAAAUAUAAAGGAAGACUUUGUCUCAAAAAAAAAUUAAUUGUAAGUUACCAGUUCAUCAUGUGUUCAAUUGAGCCAACAGAUUUUCACCUCAGCUCCAAGAAAGGAAAUAAACUUCUAUUCCAUGUUUGCCUGAAGUUCAAAUGCCAGUGUCAGUUACAGCAAAGUCAGCCACUAGUUCCCUGAUUCUGACUUAAACUUCCAAGUGGCAUGUUAAGAUAAUAAAAAAAAAGUAGCACAUCAUCUUUU